rnacentral:rRNA from 1 species
UACGUAGGGUGCAAGCGUUAAUCGGAAUUACUGGGCGUAAAGCGUGCGCAGGCGGUUUUGUAAGUCUGUCGUGAAAUCCCCGGGCUCAACCUGGGAACUGCAUUGGUGACUGGCGGGCUAGAGUAUGGCAGAGGGGGGUAGAAUUCCACGUGUAGCAGUGAAAUGCGUAGAGAUGUGGAGGAAUACCGAUGGCGAAGGCAGCCCCCUGGGCCAAUACUGACGCUCAUGCACGAAAGCGUGGGGAGCAAACAGG